UACGUAGGGGGCAAGCGUUGUCCGGAAUCAUUGGGCGUAAAGCGCGUGUAGGCGGUCGUCCAAGUCGCGUGUGAAAGCCCCCGGCUCAACUGGGGAGGGUCACGCGAUACUGGUCGACUCGAAGGCAGGAGAGGGUAGUGGAAUUCCCGAUGUAGUGGUGAAAUGCGUAGAUAUCGGGAGGAACACCAGUGGCGAAGGCGACUACCUGGCCUGUUCUUGACGCUGAGGCGCGAAAGCUAGGGGAGCAAACGGG
rnacentral:rRNA from 1 species